GACACUGCAUUUUAGUAUUUGAUUUGCUUUGUAGAGUAACGGAUAUACAGAUUUUUCGGUUCGAAUCAAAAGGGAUAACGAAUCGAAUCAAAAUUUAUGAAUAAUUUGUCCAGCUCUAUUCGUAAACUGUACAAAUAACGUAAAGAAAAACCAUGCAUGUGAGUUUUAUAUUAAAAAAACGUAAAGUACAUAGUGUGAACAUGUUUAUGUAGAGUUUGGCAGAAAAGCUCUCUACAUGUGGCAUGUGUUCAUUUUAGUGUGAACGCAUUUUUUACAAUACUUCUACACGUGACAUGUGUCCAGUUUAG
rnacentral:lncRNA from 1 species